UACGUGGGGUGCAAGCGUUGUUCGGAAUUACUGGGCGUAAAGCGCGUGUAGGCGGCCUGUUAAGUCUGACGUGAAAUCCCUGGGCUCAACCCAGGAACUGCAUCGGAAACUGACAGGCUAGAGUCCGGGAGAGGGUAGCGGAAUUCCUGGUGUAGAGGUGAAAUUCGUAGAUAUCAGGAGGAACACCGGUGGCGAAGGCGGGUCUCUGGGCAACAACUGACGCUGAGGAGCGAAAGCGUGGGGAGCGAACAGG
rnacentral:rRNA from 1 species